rnacentral:rRNA from 1 species
CAAUAGCGUAUAUUUAAGUUGUUGCAGUUAAAAAGCUCGUAGUUGGAUUUUGGGUCGGGGGCACCGGUCCGCCGUUCCGGUGUGCACUGGUGGCCCCUUCCUUUCUGCCGGGGACGUGCGUCGCACUUAAUUGGGUGGCGUUCGGAGUCGGCGUUGUUACUUUGAAAAAAUUAGAGUGUUCAAAGCAAGCCAUCGCUCUGAAUACAUUAGCAUGGAAUAACAUGAUAGGACUCUGGUCUUAUUUUGUUGGUUUCCGAGACUGGAGUAAUGAUUAAGAGGGACAGUCGGGGGCAUCCGUAUUUCAUUGUCAGAGGUGAAAUUCUUGGAUUUAUGAAAGACGAACUUCUGCGAAAGCAUUUGCCAAGGAUGUCUUCAUUAA